rnacentral:rRNA from 1 species
UACGUAGGUGGCUAGCGUUGUCCGGAUUUACUGGGCGUAAAGCGCACGUAGGCGGUUUGUUAAGUCAGGGGUGAAAUCCCGGAGCUCAACUCCGGAACUGCCUUUGAUACUGGCAAGCUAGAGUCCGGAAGAGGUAAGUGGAACUCCUAGUGUAGAGGUGGAAUUCGUAGAUAUUAGGAAGAACACCAGUGGCGAAGGCGGCUUACUGGUCCGGAACUGACGCUGAGGUGCGAAAGCGUGGGGAGCAAACAGG